rnacentral:rRNA from 1 species
GACGAACGCUGGCGGCGUGCCUAAUACAUGCAAGUAGAACGCUGAAGGAGGAGCUUGCUCUUCUGGAUGAGUUGCGAACGGGUGAGUAACGCGUAGGUAACCUGCCUGGUAGCGGGGGAUAACUAUUGGAAACGAUAGCUAAUACCGCAUAACAGUAGAUAUUGCAUGAUAUCUGCUUGAAAGGUGCAAAUGCAUCACUACCAGAUGGACCUGCGUUGUAUUAGCUAGUUGGUGAGGUAACGGCUCACCAAGGCGACGAUACAUAGCCGACCUGAGAGGGUGAUCGGCCACACUGGGACUGAGACACGGCCCAGACUCCUACGGGAGGCAGCAGUAGGGAAUCUUCGGCAAUGGACGGAAGUCUGACCGAGCAACGCCGCGUGAGUGAAGAAGGUUUUCGGAUCGUAAAGCUCUGUUGUAAGAGAAGAACGAGUGUGAGAGUGGAAAGUUCACACUGUGACGGUAUCUUACCAGAAAGGGACGGCUAACUACGUGCCAGCAGCCGCGGUAAUACGUAGGUCCCGAGCGUUGUCCGGAUUUAUUGGGCGUAAAGCGAGCGCAGGCGGUUAGAUAAGUCUGAAGUUAAAGGCUGUGGCUUAACCAUAGUACGCUUUGGAAACUGUUUAACUUGAGUGCAAGAGGGGAGAGUGGAAUUCCAUGUGUAGCGGUGAAAUGCGUAGAUAUAUGGAGGAACACCGGUGGCGAAAGCGGCUCUCUGGCUUGUAACUGACGCUGAGGCUCGAAAGCGUGGGGAGCAAACAGG